UACGGAGGGUGCAAGCGUUAUCCGGAUUUACUGGGUUUAAAGGGUGCGUAGGUGGGUAGGUAAGUCAGUGGUGAAAUCUUCGAGCUUAACUCGGAAACUGCCAUUGAUACUAUUUAUCUUGAAUUCUGUUGAGGUAGGCGGAAUAUAUCAUGUAGCGGUGAAAUGCUUAGAUAUGAUAUAGAACACCGAUUGCGAAGGCAGCUUACUAAACAGACAUUGACGCUGAGGCACGAAAGCGUGGGGAUCAAACAGG
rnacentral:rRNA from 1 species